GUAGAAGUAGUUUAUGAAAACAUAUGCUUGUCAAGCAUAAGAAGAGUAGAGUUCAAAACUCCUUCUGUA
rnacentral:tRNA from 1 species